UUCAUACUUGUGGACUGCCAACAAGAGAGCACUGUCCAUCCAGAAGAAAAAUACUGCCUGCAAUCGCUUUCAAGGGCUGAAAGAGGCAAAUGUUUACUCACAGGCACAGCUUUUCUGACCAUGAAUAGUCCCUGUGCUUUCAAAGGGAUUAAGCCUGAUAGGCAGGAGGAGGAGACACUCCCUCAGAGAAGAAGAUGAGGGUAAGAAGGAGGAGGAGGAGGAGAAGGAGGAGAAGAAAAUGAUGGAGGAGAUGCUCCCUGUCAUCCUCUGCUGUCACCUUUUCAGCCUGUUGCAGAGAACGUUGUCCAAGAGAGAGGACCAGAGCAGUGACCAUGCUCCUACUGUUCAAUGGUUUGGGAACUCGCCUGGCAAGAAACAUCUUUUCAACUAUGCCAGGUCUGUGUUUUGCAUUCAAGAGUCUGUAUUAAAUGACUAAAAUACAGAA